ACGUAGGGAGCAAGCGUUGUCCGGAAUUACUGGGCGUAAAGGGCGCGUAGGUGGAUGUUUAAGUCAGAUGUGAAAACUCCGGGCUCAACUUGGAGACUGCAUUUGAAACUGGAUAUCUUGAGGGUAGGAGAGGAAAGUGGAAUUCCUAGUGUAGCGGUGAAAUGCGUAGAUAUUAGGAGGAACACCAGUGGCGAAGGCGACUUUCUGGACUAUACCUGACACUGAGGCGCGAAAGCGUGGGGAGCGAACGG
rnacentral:rRNA from 1 species